AACAGGUGCAUGCUGGGAGCGGCUAAUUGGUAGAAACCCGCGAUGGCGUCGGCGGCUGGUGGUGAUUAUUUCCGAGAGUCGGCCGUCAGCGAGAUGGAUGCGAUAUUCAACAUACUUGAGCAGUUCAGGCUGGAAUCUUCCUACAACCUGUUUGUCCAGUUGGGCGUAACGGAUGUAAGAGAUGAAGAUCUGAACAACAUUGGUUUAAGUCAUGUGGAGAAGAAUCGCUUUUCGUCGAUGAGAAUCUUCAUUCAAAGACUCGCAGCUCUAGAGCGCCAUGUUCAGCCUGUGCAAAAGUCGUUGGAGUUGUUCACUCUGCAGUACUCGUACCCCAAAUGUCCUCAACCAAUACACAUUAACGAUAUGGAUCCAGCGGUCAACACGGUUGAGGAUCUGAUGUUGAGGAUCGGCCAUCUUGAAAGUGUUGGUCAUUCCAAAGGAGUCUGUCUCUACACAGUCGAUGGGAUGCCUUUGACAGAUGAUCCCUUCUUCAAUACAUGGUCUCUGAAAGACAGACAUAUUCAACAUGGAUCUGUAAUUUAUGCCAUUUUUACGCCAAAGGAAAACCUGAAACAUGCUCCUCAAAUACCAAAACGAGAGGUUGGAGAAACUUGCGGAGACGGUGCGGUUCGAUGCCACGUCAUGCUCAAGGGAGACUAUGAGGUGACGGUGAACUUGGCAAGUGACACCAUAACCAGUCUGAGACUCAAGCUGGCAAAUGAAAGUGGAAUCCCAACGCAUGUCCUCCAUUACAAGUACCUCAGAAAGGUCAGCAUUAUGGUGGCGACGCACUGCAGAGCUGCGGGAUCUCCGAAGGGGCGACGGUCAACUUCUCUCUGUCCGCCUUUUCCGACGAGACUUGGAACAAUGAGACUUUCUUCAUUAAUGAUUGCGUCCCUUCAGUCCAACAAACCCAGAAAGGAAUCAGCGUCUUCUUGUCUUCGCUUUACGCUCUUAGAUGUUUUUCUCCAGAGCAACAGAGGAAACUGA
rnacentral:lncRNA from 1 species